AAAUGUAGAUUCCUGGGUCCCACCACCAGAACCUUAGAUCCAGCAGCUCUGUGGUGGAUCCCAGGAAUCUGCAUUUUAGACAAGUCUUCCAGGUGCUGCUGAAGCCAGUGG
ensembl:miRNA